rnacentral:rRNA from 1 species
UACGUAGGGGGCAAGCGUUGUCCGGAAUUAUUGGGCGUAAAGAGCGCGUAGGCGGUCCGGUAAGUCAGCUGUGAAAGUCAAGGGCUCAACCCUUGAAAGCCGGCUGAUACUGCCGGACUAGAGUCCGGAAGAGGCGAGUGGAAUUCCCGGUGUAGCGGUGAAAUGCGCAGAUAUCGGGAGGAACACCAAUGGCGAAGGCAGCUCGCUGGGACGGUACUGACGCUGAGGCGCGAAAGCUAGGGGAGCGAACAGG